UACGAAGGGGGCUAGCGUUGCUCGGAAUCACUGGGCGUAAAGGGUGCGUAGGCGGGUUAUUAAGUCAGAGGUGAAAUCCUGGAGCUCAACUCCAGAACUGCCUUUGAUACUGAUAGUCUUGAGUAUGGGAGAGGUGAGUGGAACUGCGAGUGUAGAGGUGAAAUUCGUAGAUAUUCGCAAGAACACCAGUGGCGAAGGCGGCUCACUGGCCCAUUACUGACGCUGAGGCACGAAAGCGUGGGGAGCAAACA
rnacentral:rRNA from 1 species